AAGUGUAAAAUUACAUUUCAUGGCUUCUAACAAACAUUACACACACACACACACACACACACACACACACAUACACACUGACUGAGUAGGAAAAGGAGGAGUGUGAGAAGAGAAUAGGGGGGCGUGUGUUUCAUGAUGAAGAGUACGUUUAUCCUCUCAGAAUAUCAGCCCACACAGAUCUCUCUUUCUCUCUCUCACACACACACACACACACAAAAACCAGGACAUCAACUGUGAAGGUGUGUGUUCUUCCAUUGUCCAUUUGAUCCUAUUGGAAAAAUAACCUGAUCCCUGCAUUAAGGACUGACGAGACAUUGGACACGAGUAUGAGUGAGAUUGGUUCCUCAAAAACUCACAGCAGCACCAAGGAGCUGAUGGAUGAUGGGAAAAAAGCCCCUGUGGAAAAGGCGUCUAAACCCCCAGCUCAGGAUGACGAGGAGGAAAUCGACAUCGACCUGGAUGCGCCCGAGACAGAGAAAGCAGCUCUGGCCAUUCAGAAUCAGUUCAGACGCUUCCAGAAGAAAAAAAAGUAGACAAGAAGCAGAAGAAAGGCAGGACGGAGGAGGAAUAAAACUGCGAUGGAGGAGGUCGAGGGGUGUGUGGGUGGAAAAUUAGGGGUCUCAGAAUACCAAAUAACAGUCUUUCACACUGACACAGUGACAAUUACAGCUCACACACUCUUUGUCUUUCUUUUUAUUUCUUUCUCACUCUCUUUCUUGAAAUAAUUCAUGCAAUAGUAAUAAUUUCAGUGUGCUGUAACAGCUCCGGCUCAUAAAUAAAAUAAAAUAAAAAUUAAAUAAAAUUUAAAAAACAUACCCUGAGAAAUUAAGAAACUGAGUCAGCAUUAAAAGUCACAAUAAAACACAAUGAAAUAUCGAUCUCAUAGAUUCAAUAUUUUCAUUCAUUCAUUAAGAGUAGUAGGUGAUAAGUAUUAUCGAUAUCAGAUAAUGUAUUAUUAAAUUAUAUAGCA